rnacentral:rRNA from 1 species
AAUCGAACACGGAUAUAGCUGGUUCUCUCCGAAAUAGCUUUAGGGCUAGCCUCGAUGGCAAGUCUACUGGAGGUAGAGCACUGAAUGGGUGAUGGCCCCACCUCGGGGUACUGAUCUCAAUCAAACUCCGAAUGCCAGAUAGAUAUCAUCGGGAGUCAGACUGUGGGUGAUAAGGUCCAUGGUCAAAAGGGAAAGAGCCCAGACCGCCAGCUAAGGCCCCCAAGUGUCCGUUAAGUGGAAAAGGAUGUGGAGAUGCACAGACAACUAGGAGGUUGGCUUAGAAGCAGCCAUCCUUUAAAGAGUGCGUAAUAGCUCACUAGUCGAGUGACUCUGCGCCGAAAAUGUACCGGGGCUAAACGGACCGCCGAAGCUGCGGAUUGACACUUAGGUGUCAGUGGUAGGAGAGCGUUCUAACAGCGGAGAAGCAGUACCGGAAGGAGCUGUGGAGCGGUUAGAAGUGAGAAUGCCGGUGUGAGUAGCGAAAGAUAGGUGAGAAUCCUAUCCAUCGAAAGCCUAAGGUUUCCAGGGGAAGGCUCGUCCGCCCUGGGUAAGUCGGGACCUAAGGUGAGGCCGAAAGGCGUAGCCGAUGGACAACAGGUUGAUAUUCCUGUACCACUUAUUAAACUGAUGGAGUGACGGAGAAGGCUAAGUUGAGCGUGUUAAUGGAUUCACGUGUAAGCAGUGAGGUGGUCAUGUAGGCAAAUCCGCAUGGCAUAACAUUGAGCUGUGAUGCCGAAGCCGUAUGGCGAAGUCAACUGAUGUCACGCUUCCAAGAAAAGCUUCUAGGGUUAAUUUAGUAAGUGCCCGUACCGAUAACCGACACAGGUAGGCGAGGAGAGAAUCCUAAGAUGAGCGAGAGAACUCUUGUUAAGGAACUCGGCAAAAUGACCCCGUAACUUCGGGAGAAGGGGUGCUUGUGAAAGCAAGCCGCAGUGAAUAGGCCCAGGCGACUGUUUAUCAAAAACACAGGUCUCUGCUAAACCGCAAGGUGAUGUAUAGGGGCUGACGCCUGCCCGGUGCUGGAAGGUUAAGAGGAGAGGUUAGCGCAAGCGAAGCUUUGAAUUGAAGCCCCAGUAAACGGCGGCCGUAACUAUAACGGUCCUAAGGUAGCGAAAUUCCUUGUCGGGUAAGUUCCGACCCGCACGA